rnacentral:rRNA from 1 species
UACGUAGGGUGCAAGCGUUGUCCGGAAUUAUUGGGCGUAAAGAGCUUGUAGGCGGUUUGUCGCGUCUGCUGUGAAAUUUCGGGGCUCAACCCCGAACUUGCAGUGGGUACGGGCAGACUAGAGUGUGGUAGGGGAGACUGAAAUUCCUGGUGUAGCGGUGAAAUGCGCAGAUAUCAGGAGGAACACCGAUGGCGAAGGCAGGUCUCUGGGCCACUACUGACGCUGAGAAGCGAAAGCAUGGGGAGCGAACAGG